UAGACAGACCAGUUAGGAAGCUACUGCCGCAGUCCAAGCAAGAGAUGAUGGAUGAUGGCCUGGACAAGGGUGGCAACGGGGAGGAGUGACAAACGGCCAUAUUGUGAACAUAUUUUAAAGAGAAAGAAAAGCAAACAGUCACAUGGUUCUAGAGUGCAGCAUGUUGAAGAGGUGCACGGCUGGCCUGGCUGGUGGCCUUUCCCUCUCAAGCUGAUUAAAUCAGUUAUCGGUACUAGAAAACCAUGACUGGACCAACAUUCCUGCACGCCAGCAUUUUCUAGUCCUUUAAGGCAGUGUCUGCAUGUAGGGUGAUUGCCGUGGUUUUUCCAUUUCUUUCCUUUUCUUUUUUUUUGCCAUGGGUCUCCUUGUUCAAAUAAAAAUGUAUACAGUUUCAGUACAUGUAAAACAGACAAAAGCAAGCCUUUUGCUUUUUUCUGAAGGACUUCAGAAUAGGACACAGCACUCCUGGGUUCUUCCCCUGCAAAUGCUUCUCCUUGGUGGCCUCAGAGGAAGUCGCUCAGGAUAGACUUGAACACUCCUGGGGGGAAGUGGGGGGACCCUGCCCUGGAAGCCAGAAGACCUGUGUGGUAGAUCUGGCUCUGCUAGUAAUUAGUUAUGCAACCCUCAGCAAGAUAUCUAACCUCUCUUUUUCUACUGAUGAGAUGGAGAUACUACUACAUGUCCAUCCCAAGUUCUGGGGGGCAGUUGGGACCCAAGGGCAUGGUGCAUACAAAGUGCUUCACAAAUGGUAAAGAUCAGUAUAAACACGUACAAUGCCUCACUGCACUUAUACGUCAGUAAAUAUUUGUUGAUGUAGACAGAACUGUGUAAGUCAGGAAACAGAAAGAGAUAACCAACAGGGCCCAUUUAAAAAACACUGUGUGGCUGUCCAUGGUUUUGAGAGAAUACACAUAGGAGUAUUGAAACAGAAAAGCUUUUCAGUGUAUAUAUAAAUAGAACAAUGUCAAUAUUUUUAACUGUCUAGUGUUAGCAAGGUGACCGACCAUUAGUUAGGUGCUUGGUCCUAGAAACACCCUAAGACAAGUCUAUGGAGGAAAAGAGGGAGGGGAGUCCAGAGCAUGAAGGUAAAUUUGUGAGCAGUGAUGAUAAAUGCCACGAGCUCAUGGAAAAAGAUCACUUGA